rnacentral:sRNA from 1 species
CAGUCACCACUUUACCAAAACUGAGCACUGGACAAAGGAUGCCAUGGCUCCUACUACCCCCACACAGCAGAAUUAAACACGGAUGGGCCAAUCACGCAGGGAAUGCCAGGUGAUGGAAAUGCUGCCUCCCCAGCCAUCCUUCCUGGCAUGGGAUCCACACUGGUCCAGGGGCAGCUAUGCAUGAUGCAUGAACCAUGGUAGAUGCAGACGGUGUCCUUCGGGCCCACGAACCAACCAGCGGAUAACUCUUAGAAGUCCCAAGGAUCAUGGGCAUUGGCCCCCAUGCUCAACAUCCCAAGAUGGAAAAAAAAAACUGAAGGGAAAUAUGGCCAGGUAGCAUUCAGCAAUCCUUAUCGGUGACGGGGGCGGUGCUGUCCAGGUCACUGUGAGGCAUGUCAGACUCGGGCGAUUGUUUGUUUGGGUUUGGCUUGAUGGCGUCGCCAAUGAUCGGCAGCUUCGACUUGGGAGUAAGUUGCUUGGCUUCCUCGUAGGUGUAGAUGUAUAUCCUUUUCACCAUGCUGCAAAAUUCACUGCAGGUCAUCCCCAACCAGCAUCAUAUCAUCCUCAUCAUCUGUGUAAACAACCUUCCAUUUCUUUAGGCUAGCAGAGAGCUCUCCUUGGAUAUCAAACAUCUCUUCUAACUUGCAGCGAAGAUCAUCAUAUCCAUGGAGCCUUGUCAGGUCCACUGCCCUUCCAACUGCCAUUCCUUGCAUGAUUACCUUGGUGCAGCUCCUCACUUGCCGACUCUGAGUCUCAUGAGGAGAUGGCUCACUGCUUGCCGCUGGAGCAUCAGAUUUGUUGGCAUGUGAUGGUUGUGAGAGCUGAUCAGACUCAGCAUCUACUGAGGCAGCUGGUUGGUCUUGACCAACACCAGAAACAGCAGCCAGUGGAGAUGUAGCUUCCACAGCAGAGCUUAUCUCGAUUCCAAACAAUCUGCAGCCAGCCGAACUAGGCUCUUGCUUCUUUUCAGAUGGAACUUUGCUGAUGCUAGCAGAGUAAGAGUUGGCUCUUGUCUCUCUCAUUGGCCAGUAAAAAUGCUUGUUGCUUAGAGCAGAUGGCUCAUUCUUUGUACUGAAUCCAACAU